UUCCCCCAUGAGAAAUCGUUGCUGCAAACUGCCUGUAAAUUGAUUCUAAUAAAAUGCAAUCUUUUAAUCGGUGAAAAUUUGAAUUGAAAUAAACGUGUGUAUAAUUUUAAAAAAAACAGAUCGGAAGAACGU